GACAUAGGGGGCAAGCGUUGUUCGGAAUUACUGGGCGUAAAGGGAGCGUAGGCGGGAGAUUAAGUUAAGAGUGAAAGCCUUGGGCUCAACCCAAGAAAUGCUCUUAAUACUGGUUUUCUAGAGUGUGGGAGAGGUAAGUGGAAUUCCUAGUGUAGCGGUGGAAUGCGUAGAUAUUAGGAGGAACACCAGUGGCGAAGGCGAUUUGCUGGACUGUAACUGACACUGAGGCACGAAAGCGUGGGGAGCAAACAGG
rnacentral:rRNA from 1 species